rnacentral:tRNA from 1 species
GCAGUGGUGGUUCAGUGGUAGAAUUUUUGCUUUUCAUGCAGGAGAUCUAGGUUUGGUUCCCGGCCAGUACA